CGUGUGUGCACGCGCAUCCAUGUUUCCUAGUAACAAACGUGGGAUCACAGAAUUUACCCGGAAACAAUUAACACAUUUUAAUUUCUGAUCGGCUUACCGGCUCUGGCGUUUAGUACAGAGAAAGCUAUGAACUCGGCAGAAAAAUGAUCGUCUAUUAAUUGUAUAUAGCGGGACAACUUCGUGGGCGUUAUCUCUUCACAUACUUCUCAGCGUGAGAAAUACAAGGAUCAAACAGAGUAUUUGAGUGGCACUACAGCUAUCCAAGCCAUUAAGACAACUAUUGAAACAGAACAGAGGACAAAUGACAUCAAAUCAGAGGACGUCAAAUAACCAACAUCAAGUAACACUAUCUGUAUUGAUACAAUCUUUUAUAAUGCACAACGGAACAGACAACGGGUAAAAUAUACAGUAUAUCAGUGAAUGUGUUUAGACAAUUAUGUACAACAAAUUGUGUGUAAUAGCUGUGAAAUGUGUUACAUUUGGGUAUUUGUUACUAGUAUAAAAGGUGGACUCUCAUCUCUCUUCCUAAAUCCUAGAUGCUACCCUGUGUGUACAGUAAGUGCAAGUGUGCUUGUGUAUAUAUGGUGAUACACACGUGCCAACAAUGAAUAUGUGUUCACUGAACAAAUUACUGCAGUGGGGUGCUGUUACUAACAAGCUCUCUUUAAGUGCCAUUUCCUGGUAGAACAGAGAGUCCUUUUUUUUCUCCAUAGCACACAAUCGUUAUUCCAGGUCAUCCAGAGACAGAUGCCUGGAGCCAGAAGAAACUGAAUCCUGCACUCUCCUUGCAGCCAUUGAGCUGUGCCCAGAGGCAAGAUGGCUGAGCUAGAGUUUCAGAUCUCUCCCUGGGCUGCCCAGACGCCUGGUGUUUUGUUGGAGACAGACUGGCAGGCACAAAAUCACUUUUUGAUUCCCAGGGCAGGCUGCAACACACACUGAACAGGUUUGAACCUCAAAUCCAAGUCUCAGUAUGCUGUGAUUUAAAAGGCUAGACAGUUCCCGUUCAGCACAACAGGCAACUACAUCCCUACAUAGUAGCUGGCUAGGUACACAUUUACAGCUGUGCCAACUCUUCAGAAGAUUUCCUCUCAAUUAGUUUAAAGUGCCAUAAAGGGAUUUGCCCUGCAGGUAAGUUUUGCCUUUAGGUACAGAUCCUAGAUCAGAAUACACAACUUCAACAUCUGCAAUAUAAUGUGUCAUUAAUGGUUAAAUUGAAGUUUCUACCCCAACCACAAAUGCAUUCGUACCUAGACAACUGGAAGAACACGGCAUAGUUUAAAAAAAACAAUGAUAGACCAACAGGGGGGAAAUUGCCCUUGGAAUGAGAUGUUUUGCUGAUAUGGGGCUGUGAAAGCCUUCAGUUUCCUUGUUGGUUUCUGGGAUAAGCAAAUGUUAAAGGAUAUAAAUCCCUGAAACAGUGCCAUUCAUAUCACCAGGUAUAAUUUGGCUAGUAUCCUCCUAUGUGGAAAUAGUCUCAGUUUGCUCAAACCCCCUAGUUUGAGUUAGAUCCAGCGAACAACACCGUCCUCUCCUGUAGAUAAAAUUCACUGUGGUGACAAUAGGUUUCCAGUAAAUAUCCCAUGCUGGUUCAGUUCCUCUACUAUGUUACCAUGCAGUACUUUCAUAUUUCCAUGCCUCUUUAGUCUGUCAGUUUGUGUACAUAGUUGACAGGAAAUGUCCCACUCCUGCUUAGGUCCCCCUCUAUGUGACCAACCUGUUAGGAUAAAAAGUAAAUAUUUAUGAUGUGAAAACAUAAAAAGUCACUUUUACAUAUUUCACUUCACAUUGCUACCCAGAAGAGAAAUGGGCAAUCACUGUAAUGAAAUAAGGAAGUUGUAGUUGCACUUACCCACCAGUGGGGGUCAUUAGUGGCCGUGACCACAAUGAUCUCAUCUUUGAAAAAGGCAAGCUGCUCAGUACUGACUGCUCUGCAGUCCACUAAAGCCUUGACACGCUUCUGAUGUGGCCUGCUGCCAGAAACCUGGAGGAGAUAUGCAAUAUAUUUUUUCAGUGUGCUACCAGCAUAAUUAACUGUGAAAUGUCAUUGGCCUUCUCAACAGGAAAAAAGUACAGUGGUAAUGAAGAUUGUAAUAUGGAGGACUUAAAAUAUAGGCUGAAUAUAACAGAAAGAGGUUUCUAUAUAAUUGUACCAUAGCAUUCCUGCGGGGUCGUGGGGCACAGGUUAUGGUAGGUGAGGAUGACGGUGCUGGUGCGGGAGCUGGGGUGAGGCCCGGACUAUUCCCCACUAAGCUGCAGUACAGCUCCUCCUGGCUGCCCACACAGCUUGGAGACAACACACCGCACUUCCCCUGGAGCCCUCCUCCACUGCUCGUCCGACGAUAUGAUGUGGUCUUCUCUGAACUGGAGGGUGGAGAAAUAACAUGAAAUUAUCAAACAAGGCUCCUGUCAUUUGAAGUUGUUUGUGAAAAAUUCAAAACUGGAGCCAGCUUGAUAAUCAUUAUCUGUCCUUAGAAUAGUUUUAGGAAAUACUUAUUUUUUAUUUUUAGACAGGGCAUGAGCUUGAAUUGCAUCCUUUCAGUGACCCUGUUUACACCUGACACUACCAUGCUGACAGACGUGUGGUAACAGAAAUGUGUUGUUGCACAGUGUCUCACCUGACAGGCCCCAAGUGGUUCAGGGAAGAUGUUGGUGUGAGACUGCUUUGAGAUCCAGAACUAGCACCAGGUUGGCCCUCCCAGGUCUGCUUCUGCCCCCUGAGCGGACCUCCUUGUCCGUGGGGUGACCUAGGUGGUCUCCCCCCUUGGCCAUGGUUGUCCAUGUUGGGUGAAGGUGGGUUAUGUCUCGCCUGUGUCUGGGGACUGGAGGAGCUGGAGGCCGGGUUAGAGCAGCGACGUGGAAUUUGGUUGCCCUCCUGUGUUGUAACCGAAAUCUGGGGGUCAGAGCGACCUGUGGAGGGGAAAAAAUGAAAAUAAAAAAAAGCAACAAAUUAA